AUUGAACGCUGGCGGCAGGCCUAACACAUGCAAGUCGAACGAGUGGCGGACGGGUGAGUAACGUCUGGGAAACUGCUUGAUGGAGGGGGAUAACUACUGGAAACGGUAGCUAAUCCCGCAUACCAUCGGAUGUGCCCAGAUGGGAUUAGCGAGUAGGUGGGGUAAAGGCUAACCUAGGCGACGAUCCCUAGCUGGUCUGAGAGGGUGACCGGCCAAACUGGAACUGAGACACGGUCCAGACUCCUACGGGAGGCAGCAGUGGGGAAUAUUGCACAAUGGGCGAAAGCCUGAUGCAGCCAUGCCGCGUGUAUGAAGAAGGCCUUCGGAUCGUAAAGCACUUUCAUCGGGGAAGCGUUACCUGCAGAAGAAGCACCGGCUAACUCCGUGCCAGCCGCCGCGGUAAUAC
rnacentral:rRNA from 1 species